rnacentral:rRNA from 1 species
UACGUAGGGUGCAAGCGUUAAUCGGAAUUACUGGGCGUAAAGCGUGCGCAGGCGGUUUUGUAAGUCAGAUGUGAAAUCCCCGGGCUUAACCUGGGAACUGCGCUUGUAGCUGAUAGGCUUGAGUGUGGCAGAGGGGGGUGGAAUUCCAGGUGUAGCAGUGAAAUGCGUAGAUGUCUGGAGGAACACCGAUGGCGAAGGCAGCCCCCUGGGCUAACACUGACGCUCAUGCACGAAAGCGUGGGGAGCAAACAGG